UACGUAGGGGGCAAGCGUUGUCCGGACUUAUUGGGCGUAAAGCGCGUGUAGGCGGCUUGGCAAGUCCGCUGUGAAAACUCGAGGCUCAACCUCGAGAUGUCGGUGGAAACUGCCUGGCUAGAGUCCGGAAGAGGAGUGUGGAAUUCCUGGUGUAGCGGUGAAAUGCGCAGAUAUCAGGAAGAACACCUAUGGCGAAGGCAGCACUCUGGGACGGUACUGACGCUGAGACGCGAAAGCGUGGGGAGCGAACAGG
rnacentral:rRNA from 1 species